AUUCGACUGACGAGUCUCAAAUAGGACAAAACAUCUGUCCUGGAU
rnacentral:hammerhead_ribozyme from 1 species